AAAAAAGAAAAUGUUUAACGAAACUGAAGGCCAAAGUCUAGGCAAGAGUAAAUACUGCUCUAAGGCAGCCAACAAGGUUACUGUUUGCCUCCUCCAUGUGCAGCUUUCCAGGAGGCCUGAAAAGUCUCUCCCGCCCAUGUGAUAGGCUGAGGAGCACAAACUGAUCCUGAGUUUGGUAGAACUCUUGUAUGUUGGAGAAGAUCACAGCUUUAGUGCUGUUUGGGGAAUACUGGUGACUAUUCAGGCAGGGUGGUGACAUUGCCCUACAAUCAGACAAUACAGGACCUGAGCAGAGUUCCAGUUGUAAAGAACGAAGGACGCGGCUUAUGUAACACGGGGUUUACCAUCCUGACCAUUCACACGUGAAAUAGAAAAGGAUGCUGCCCCUCUGGCCGGCAAGGUCUCCCAGAGCCUAUGGACAGAAUGAACAAUUGACUGGAGCUGGAUAAAAGACAGGGAUUGUUCUUCAAAGAAUCCAAACUCUUUCUCUGAAGAAGCUUUGGGGUUAUAAAAGUUCCGGUGGGAGAGAUGCCAUGUGCCAGCUCCGCCUGCGACGGAGUGGGGGCUGUCCUCUCAUUUGGUUGCCACACAGCGAAGCCAUGUUCUUCGGUGUUUCUGGAAGCUCCGUCCUCCUCCACGGAACUCCGGAAAGAAUCCGGAUGGCUUCGGAACUCAGCGGGGAAAAGAAGAGUGAUAUCCCAGUCUCGGUGUCUGACGAACUUCGGCGCAUUCGGAGAUACUUGUGAGUGGUGCUUAUCGCCUCAAACAGAACGCUCCACACAUCUAUAAUCGCGAUGCGCUCCACGGGGUCCUGUUAGCGGCAGAGCAGUCAUUUUUACCGUAGCUUUAUAGACCAAGAAAGAAAGAUUAAAUCCCUCGCCUUAUGUGGUUUCUACAUGGUGAAGUCAAGGCUCCCACCUGACUUUCCAACCCACCCCCGGUCCUAAAGGAAAAGACAGUGGUGACUCAGUUCUCUGAGGCAGGCUCAAGGCGGGCUUUGACCCCCUGUGCGGCCCUUCCUCAGGUCGGGAAGAGGAAGACUUAUAAGCCUCCUCUCCCUCGCUAGAAGGUAACACUAGGCUAGUCUGUAUGACUUCACAGAGAACUAGGGCAAAUUAAGCAGUUGGUGAGAGUCAAGGGUCAGCUUUUAGCAUGGAUAUAAGUGACCUGAGAAAGCAAUCUAUUUAGCAAUAGAUUCGGUACAGAAUCAACCCAUCCGUAACUCUAUGAGACAACAUAAACAAGUCAACGAAAUCAUCUCAAUGCUGAACUGAAAAUACUCCGUGUUCUUCCUCUUAAAUGCUUGUGGUAUCUCAUCUGUUAUAAGGUCCUCUUGCACAGCAUCUAAUUUUUGGGUAACAUUUCGGCAUCAUAUAAUAUAAAAUGUAAAUUGAUAUAAUCCUCUUAGGAAGCAUUUGGGAAAUUUAUAUUAAGAAUCAGAAAAAUGGUAAUACUAUUUGACUUAGUAAUUCCACUGGUGGGAAAUUAUGCAAAAUAUCUAAGAAGCCAUGCCCAACUCACGGGAGUAUUCAAAAUAAUAUAGACAGGCAUAACGCUUAGCAAUUUGUCUAUCAUUUAUAGAUUUUCUUGGUGGCAGAGAACACAAAUGAACCUAAGUAUAUUCAAUCAAGGAAAAUAGUGCAAAGUAAUUCCUGAACCAAAUGACACAAAGAAAGGUCACAACUAAGUCUAUCCAGCUUCAAGGUCCUUGGCCCUGAGGUCUCAUGAGCCUUCAAGUUCAGGCCUUAAAAUGGCCCCCUAGAAAGAGAAUAGCAAGUGCCCCCUCUGUCUCACACUUGGCCCCAGCUGGUGGCAAGUCUUCGAGGUUCAGAGAGGCAAGCUUCUUUGAAGGGAGCAGGUCUCUGGAGUCAGGACUGGAAGCCUUGAGCCCUGGCUUAUGUCCUGUGUGCUCACUGCUCUCCUCCUUCUGACAGCAGAUGCUAUGUGACGUUCCUGCUACGACCACUCAUACGCCCCACCCCAUUAUGACCUGUACCCUAAAGUUGCUGUCUGUCAUAUAUUUAGCCAUAGCAACAAGAAAACUAAUGAGCACACCCUCCUUCUACCUGCACAUGAACAAUGGGAUAUGGUGCCCAAGACCCUAUUAUCUGGUGAUCCUGCAUAACUGCUUUGAAAGAGACCCACUAACCCCUGAUAACUCAAAGCUGGGAUGAAAAACACUGUGCAGACCUGCGCAGAGGAGGAAAUGAAAUUCCCUAGAAGCAAGAAUGUAGAGCAGGUGCCCACCACCAGAGCAGGUGGCCAGGAUAAAAGUGCUUUUUUGUGGGCUGAAUCCAGAGUGGUACAGGAGCUGGUUCUAAAGAUGCCAUGCUUAGCCCAGAAGGUAAGGGGGUGGGAGCUCCUAGGAUGAGGAGGCUGAUACUUGUCAUCUAGUUUGAUAAGUCGGACACUGGGAUGAGAACGAAAAUGGUGCCCGAAGUCAAGGGCAGAGAAGGAGGUAGAGCAGUCACUGCAUUUGGUCUGAGCUUGGCUGGGUUGUCCCAUGUCCCUCUUCGAGGGGACCUUGGAAGGAGGGAGCCGGGGAGAGGAGAAGUAGAUUGAUUCUACUUGUGAGCAAUUCCAUUUUUUCUUUGAUUCUCAGAAUGUAGUUUAAUGGUAGAGUAUAUGCUUGGUGUACACAAGACACUUGUGUGUUCAAACCUCCAGCACUCACCAGCCCAAAAGGACAUGAAUAAGGAGAACAAAUAAAAACAUACCGUGGCUUUAAAUUUUUGAUUGAUUCUAUGUGCUCUCUUCUUAAAUGCCUGGUGCACAGUCUAAAAAGCUUUGCAUUUGGAAUGUGAGAAAUGCCUAUUAAAUUCAACUUCUGUCGAUAUUCGGGAACUAUAAAACUGUUACUUGUUUGGUUUAGAUAUUACCCACCUUUCUCCAACUCCCAGAAUGCAGUCUUUCUAGUCUAUAACUUAACGAUCCAAAGGGAAAUCUUUCUCAAUGCUCAUCUGAAAUGACUUCCGGGCUGGAUCCUUUCUGGCUCAGUCAUCUUUUGUUUUUAUAAUGCUCCAAAGAUUCAAGGAUGAAAGCAUUGCCUAUAGCCUUCUUUAAAAUGUCUACAAUGUUUCCCUUGACAGUGUGAAGACAAGGAAACUGUGAAUAACAAAGCAUUUUACACAAAGAAAACAGAGUCUCUGCAAAACAAAGUAACUGUAGGACUGUAUGACCGUUUGUGGUUAGGAACAUAGCACCCUUCUGAAUCUCCAUGUAGUUAAAAUAGACAUUACUUCUAGCUUCAGACUUUCCAGAAGGGAGCCAAAAAGAAAAAAAUCCAAUCCAUGCAGAAAAUAUACACAUAAUUAUGUACAAGUUUUUGAGGAAUUUGAAAAAGAAAAUAGCAAUGUUUCCUAACAGCUGAUCGUCAUUUUUAAGGUUUACCUUUUUAAAAAAAAUUAUCUAAUUUUAAUCAUGUGUAUGUCUAGGUGUGGGUAUGUGAGCUUGAGUGUGGAUGCUCUCCUGGAUCUGCUAGAAUUGACAUUACAGGCUGUGAUGUGCGUGUUAGGACCUAACUCUGCAAGAGCAACGGUCAGUCUCCCCCCACCGGAGCCAUCUACCUCUCCAGCCCAAUCUAAGCUCAACGUUUAGAACGAGAAGGAAAAAAUUAUUUUGCAGAAAGAUGCCAACCGAAUUGUACAGAACUCUUUAACACUUCUAGGGGAAAAGACGUGCCGUAAGUCAAAGGAACUUCAAAAAUCAGAUGACUCUUCCUUUAAUGUAAAACUGUAUCCUCUAUUCUCUGACACGUCCUUCAACCACAGGAUUUCCUUUUAACAAAACCUCACAAAAUUUAAAGCGACUAUCAGGAGACAGAUACUAAGACAGAAGACAGUCUUG
rnacentral:sRNA from 1 species